UUACCCACAUGUAUGGGGGGGACAGGAGACCUCCGGGUUCCACCUGGGGUCUGACCUGGGGUCCUUCAUGCAUCCCUCCAUCCGUUAUCCGCCCCCCAUGCUUCUGGGGCCUCAUCUGCACCUGGUUCCGUGUGGGGUAUGGGGGUAACAGGACAGGCACGACGGGAAGAAGGACUCCAGGCACGAGCAGGCAGAGGCGCCGUGUCGCAGGGAUUGCCAGGCGUGCAGAAGCCGGAGGCGACUCCGUUCAGCUCCUUCAGGUGAUUCAAAGGCAAACACGGCCACCGCCUUCGGGGUCGGUGAGACGCUGCGCGCUUUCGGUGUCGGGGCGGCCGGGACUGCGUGACAGGGGCAAGAAGGAACACGCACCCAGGAGGUGACACCAGCUGACGGAGGCGUGUGUGGAGCCGCGCCCCCCCCACGUCCCGCGGCACCCCCUGUGUGCCCGGCCCCUCCUGCUUCAGCAGCCCUCACGGGAAGGCCCCCCAGCAGGGGCUCGCCCCGCGGCCCUCAGGCGGUCAGGCAGUUGGCGCCCUGGCUUCCUUGGCUCCAGACCACGGCGGAGGUGAUCCCCAGAGGUGAUGCGGGCCCCGCAGCCCACAGCGGACAGCGAAUAGCAAAACGGGUGUUUUUGGAGACCCUGGAGAGCAGGGGAGGCGGGAGUGGUGUCCCAGCCGCUGCCUGCGCGCCCUCCUCCCCGGGUGCAUGGCAGGAGGGACAGCAGGGCCACCUGCGCUCCCGUGAGCUAGGCUGACGGAGGAGACCUGAAGAACCCGGAGCACCACGGAGCCCCGAUGAGCACGCCCGUUUCUGAGGCCAGAAAUCGCGAUUCCCCCGAGGCCCCCGCGCUGUGAGCUCACAGUGUGUCCAGCGGUCACACUGCUGUCAUUCCAGCAGCCACGGUCUUGCCAUGCCGGGCCCCGUGACCCCCUCCCCGGUGUCCCCCUCAGCCCCGCGCUGCCCCCUCCCCAGCGUCCCCCUCGGGCCCCACUGCCCCCUCCUGGGCGUCCCCCACACGCUAAAUGAAGCACCGCGGUCUGAGGGGAGACAAAGAGGAGUGGCCGCCAGCAGAUGAGGACCCUCUGGCAUGUGGGGGAGGGGUGCCCUGUCCAAGGUCACGGGGAAGGACGGGCAGCCCCUGGGAGACUUGCUUCCUGCUCCGGAGACCCUGCUGUCUGGGCUUAUCUUUCCGUGUAACCUUGGGGCUUAAAAGUAAUUGGAAAUUGA